ensembl:lncRNA LINC02465 long intergenic non-protein coding RNA 2465
AGUCAAGGAGAGGAGACUGCAUAGGGUGUGACUAUCAGGAACCAUGGCUCACUGGAGCACCAUCUUUGGAGUCUAGCUAACACAGCAUCUUGGAUGCACUCCUAAGAGAAGACUACCUGAAAGGCGUGUACACUGGUCUAGCAGUUGAGAUCAGCUAGUGUUCCAUCUAUCUUCUGUCAUGUAUCUCUUCUAAGAUGUCUUGAUCGACUGACCCCAAAGCCAGAGGGUACCAGGUCAAAAAGCAAGAAAACAAACAAUACUGACAUUAGAGAGAAGCAAAGUUUCUAUAGAAAACCUAUUACACUGUGGUAUAAAUCAAGAUGAACCUGCAGACAUCUAUUUUAGUUUGGAAGUCUGGAAAAGUUCAAGAUUGGCCAUCUGCAGCUGGUGAGAGCCUCAGGCUGCUUCCCCUCAUGGUGGAAGGUGAAGGGGAGCUGGUGUGUGCAGAGAUUACAUGCUUUUCUAGGUCAUCAUUCUAGGCUUUGUUGAAGCAUGCAUUUUUGGCAUGAGGGUGGCAGCCUUUGCACUAUGUGCAUGGCUGAGGAGUUAGGAUCUGGAGGGUGAUGAAAGCAAAGGUGCUGCUGGUUACUCUUGGUUCAUCUAGCAAUAGAUGAUCUGAAUGUUAGAGUUCGCCAAAUAUUGUUCCUGGGCAGUCUUUGCUCUACCAAAUCAACUUUCUCCAUGGGGGAGCUAGAAGUCACCCCACAUUCUCCGCCAUGGCCAGCUCUACAUUCUAAGAGAUGACAAAGACACAAGGAGCCAAGACAGAUCAUUCAAGCAUAUUCAUUGCCUCUAUCUUCAUCCCAUUAAAUAACAUCCCGCCAACCAAAGCAAGUUAUCUGCAUAAGAAUAAAUAUUCCACCUACUCUACUGCAAGGCCCUGCAAGAGUCAUGAGACAAAAGGAUCCUCUGUGGACAGCACCCAAGAUGGAAACAACUGACAGUCUAUGGCCAGGGCUAUACUCUGGUGAAACUGAAAGGUGUCUGCAUGGAAGUGUCUGACUACCACCAUCCACUCAGGCAAAUGCAUUUGUUUCCCUCUAUUCAUUAUUAGAAGAGAGGAGAUUACAUACCAGACAUAUACCAAUAGGUUUUCUCUUCAUAAUACCUACGUCAUCUAGUAGCAUAACAUAAGGCAGAAUCCUUCAAAGGUUGACUCCUAGAGAUGGAAGAGCUGUAAGCAGAGACAGAAAAAUUUUUCUGUACUCAUGCUGUGGAGCUGUACUCUGGAGCAGCAAGUGACAAGUGAAGACAACCUCCCUCCCUGCCUUUUCUGGUCUGAGUAACAUUGUCAUUAAAAUUGUCAAAUAAAUUAAGAUACCAAGACAAAAAAA